rnacentral:misc_RNA from 1 species
UAAGUACUCAUCCUAAUAUGCUGUUUCUCUUCAAUAAAUCCUAAAACUACUUAUGUCAGGUCCAAAAAUGACUACAUCAAUUCCAACAGCUGUGUCAAAAACUCAGGAAAGAGAAAAAGAAUUGCUUAGCAAGGUUAGAAAUACACAUACAGAGAAAUUUCAUAUAAAACCAAGUCUUUAAAAUACAGAUGAUUAGUAGUAUGUGUUGUUAUGAAACUAGUGAGUUCAAUGUUUGACGCUAAAUUAUAGAAGUG